GGCUGGAAGAUAUGGUGAAGCUCAUGACCGAGUGCUGGCAUCAGGAUCCCAGCAGGAGACCGUCGUUCCUCGACUGUGUUCAUGCGACUGAGAAGAUCUCUAAUAUGCACAAACAUGGACUCAAUGAUGCUGUCUAUGAUGUUCUGAAGCAGCUGGAUGAUGACAUUUGUUCCGGUUUGAAAUCAAUCCAGAUCAGCCGUCAACCACACAACGAAGCACAGCCUCAGGCUUCGUCCUGCGUCACUGGACCACUUCCCAAACAGGUCAUUUAUACUGAAAUGAACUGAAGCUAAAUUAAAAUCUUAGCACAUUGAACUUAAUAAAAGCAUUUGAAUCAAC
rnacentral:lncRNA from 1 species